GAUGAACGCUGGCGGCGUGCCUAAUACAUGCAAGUCGAGCGAACAGACGAGGAGCUUGCUCCUCUGACGUUAGCGGCGGACGGGGGAGUAACACGUGGAUAACCUACCUAUAAGACUGGGAUAACUUCGGGAAACCGGAGCUAAUACCGGAUAAUAUAUUGAACCGCAUGGUUCAAUAGUGAAAGACGGUUGUGCUGUCACUUAUAGAUGGAUCCGCGCCGCAUUAGCUAGUUGGUAAGGUAACGGCUUACCAAGGCAACGAUGCGUAGCCGACCUGAGAGGGUGAUCGGCCACACUGGAACUGAGACACGGUCCAGACUCCUACGGGAGGCAGCAGUAGGGAAUCUUCCGCAAUGGGCGAAAGCCUGACGGAGCAACGCCGCGUGAGUGAUGAAGGUCUUCGGAUCGUAAAACUCUGUUAUUAGGGAAGAACAAAUGUGUAAGUAACUAUGCACGUCUUGACGGUACCUAAUCAGAAAGCCACGGCUAACUACGUG
rnacentral:rRNA from 1 species